CUUCCCAGAAGUACUCUCAGUCCGUGGUGAUGGUUACCAGGAUGCUGGCUGUAACCAGGUGCUCCCUUGGCCAAGGAGACACUUCCCUCCUCCUCUGAGGGCCUGUGGAUAACAAGCAGGGAAGUGACUGGAGGGGCUGCUGGCCACAGCCUUUUCUCUGCCCUGCGUGGUUCCUGGCUCUCCAUUCCACUGAUGUAUUUGUGGAGCUUUGCCAAUAUCACACUGUCUUGAUCAUCAGAGUUUUAUCAUAAUUCUUCAGAUCAGCACAGCACAGCCGGAUUCAGCAGGCACUCACCGUUAACACCUACAGCAUGUAAACAAGGUGAGAUGGCAAAAGAUACCGAUCCAUAGAUCCCUUCUCAUGGAGAACGGAAAGAAAAGCCUUGGAGACAAUGAGCUCACACGUGCCGGUGAACACACACAAGAACAAGUCAAACGUCUCAACAAGGAUUUACUUUAACAAAACGCACAGGUACGCGAUGCUCAAGUCUUACUAGAAAGGAGUCACUUGGAUCUUUUUUUCCCUUUCCUUACACAGCACAAGCCAACGGCCAGCUAAACAUUCAGACCCAUUACUGAACAGAAGGGAGCAGCAUCAGACACAAAAUUUCAGGCCCUGGUUUUAUGUGCCUUUAAUACUUUUUUUUUUUUCCUUUCCUCUGUGUUCACUAAACAGGAUUAAAAAUUUUUUUUGUAAAGCUA